GACGAACGCUGGCGGCGUGCUUAACACAUGCAAGUCGAACGGAAAGGCCCUGCUUUUGUGGGGUGCUCGAGUGGCGAACGGGUGAGUAACACGUGAGUAACCUGCCCUUGACUUUGGGAUAACUUCAGGAAACUGGGGCUAAUACCGGAUAGGAGCUCCUGCUGCAUGGUGGGGGUUGGAAAGUUUCGGCGGUUGGGGAUGGACUCGCGGCUUAUCAGCUUGUUGGUGGGGUAGUGGCUUACCAAGGCUUUGACGGGUAGCCGGCCUGAGAGGGUGGCCGGCCACAUUGGGACUGAGAUACGGCCCAGAAUCCUACGGGAGGCAGCAGUGGGGAAUAUUGCACAAUGGGCGGAAGCCUGAUGCAGCAACGCCGCGUGCGGGAUGACGGCCUUCGGGUUGUAAACCGCUUUCGCCUGUGACGAAGCGUGAGUGACGGUAAUGGGUAAAGAAGCACCGGCUAACUACGUG
rnacentral:rRNA from 1 species